GUAAUCCCAGCACUCUGGGAGGCUGAGGUGGGCAGAUCACCUCAGGUCAGGAGUUCGAGACUAGCCUGGCCAACAUGGUGAAACCCUGUCUCUACUAAAAAUACAAAAAAUAGCCAGGUGUGGUGGCAGGUGCCUAUAAUCCCAGCUACUCAGGAGGCUGAGGCAGGAGAACUGCUUGAACCCAGGAGGCGGAGAUUGCAGUAAGCCAAGAUUGUGCCACUGCACUCCAGCCUGGGUGACAGAGCAAGACUCUGUCUCAAAAAUAAAUAAAUAAAUAAAUAAAUAAUUUUGGGGCUCUAGUAAGAAGAGAUGGCUGAUCUGCUCUCUGUUAACUUCCUCUCCUUUGAUAGAUGUGCCUGGGGGCAGAAGAGGGGCAGCUUGCAGAUGGCAGCCUGUGCAUAGAGGCCCUGAAGGGGCUUGUCUGUUUUUAUUAUACUGACUUUCAACUAACUUGACUGCUGCUGCCUCUGCCUUUCUCAGUCCUGAGCCUUUCCGGGUUCUGCAGGGCUCACCAGAGCCCUCCUUGGUUAAGCUCUUUCUGCCUGAAUUCUUGGCCAGGGCUUCCUCUGCCUGGCCACUCCACCUGCCUGACACCUCCUAGAAAUGUGUUGAACUCUGGUCCACCUCUCAGAUGCUACCCUUCAGAUUGGGCCAACUGGAUAGAGCAAAA
rnacentral:lncRNA from 1 species